rnacentral:rRNA from 1 species
CCUAGGGGAGGCAGCAGUGGGGAAUAUUGGACAAUGGGGGGAACCCUGAUCCAGCCAUGCCGCGUGUGUGAAGAAGGCCCUCGGGUUGUAAAGCACUUUCAGUGAGGAAGAACGCCUGGUGGUUAAUACCCAUCAGGAAAGACAUCACUCACAGAAGAAGCACCGGCUAACUCCGUGCCAGCAGCCGCGGUAAUACGGAGGGUGCGAGCGUUAAUCGGAAUUACUGGGCGUAAAGCGCGCGUAGGUGGCUUGAUAAGCCGGUUGUGAAAGCCCCGGGCUCAACCUGGGAACGGCAUCCGGAACUGUCAAGCUAGAGUGCAGGAGAGGAAGGUAGAAUUCCCGGUGUAGCGGUGAAAUGCGUAGAGAUCGGGAGGAAUACCAGUGGCGAAGGCGGCCUUCUGGACUGACACUGACACUGAGGUGCGAAAGCGUGGGUAGCAAACAGGAUUAGAUACCCUGGUAGUC